GUCGGUGUGUCCGAGUGGUUAAGGAGAUAGAUUAGAAAUCUAUUGGGCUCUGCCCGCACAGGUUCAAAUCCUGUCGCCGACG
rfam:Smittium culicis strain GSMNP scaffold-283, whole genome shotgun sequence.